rnacentral:rRNA from 1 species
GAUGAACGCUGGCGGCGUGCCUAAUACAUGCAAGUCGAGCGAACAGAUGAGGAGCUUGCUCCUCUGACGUUAGCGGCGGACGGGUGAGUAACACGUGGAUAACCUACCUAUAAGACUGGGAUAACUUCGGGAAACCGGAGCUAAUACCGGAUAAUAUAUUGAACUGCAUGGUUCAAUAGUGAAAGACGGUUUUGCUGUCACUUAUAGAUGGAUCCGCGCCGCAUUAGCUAGUUGGUAAGGUAACGGCUUACCAAGGCAACGAUGCGUAGCCGACCUGAGAGGGUGAUAGGCAACACUGGAACUGAGACACGGUCCAGACUCCUACGGGAGGCAGCAGUAGGGAAUCUUCCGCAAUGGGCGAAAGCCUGACGGAGCAACGCCGCGUGAGUGAUGAAGGUCUUAGGAUCGUAAAACUCUGUUAUUAGGGAAGAACAAAUGUGUAAGUAACUAUGCACGUCUUGACGGUACCUAAUCAGAAAGCCACGGCUAACUACGUG